CUCCGUCAAUGAACGCGAUUGGAUUUAACUUUUUUAGGUGUCCUUAGCUCUGCCAGAAUGCUAAACGAAGACGAAAAUGUGUUGCAAAGACAUCCAAAAGGUUUUAAGGAGAAUGCAACAGGUUCCAGGGCCUCUUACCUGCGUGAUUCAUCAUCCAGAUAUGCUUGGAGCUUCCUGAUUGGAAUGUUGGCUUCCGACGACCCCUGCACUGAAGAUGGCAUGCAAUCACGUCCUCCUUUGAAGGUUUCUCAAACUGUGAUGCCAGGUCCAUUGGAAUUGGGGUUUCCUUCAGCUUAUCUUCAAAUACCUCAUCAAACACAAGCCUGAUCACAUCAUCCACAUAACUGUAGAAAUAUUGCAGUCAAUAAAUCUUUUGUUUUGAUCAUUUAUUUCCCUGCUUCAUACAUUAAGUUUUUAAUUAUGAAUGUAUUUGAAAUAAAACAUUACUGCUUACGGUAUGUCAUUUGUGUGUUUUGGGAACAUAGCCUUGUACUUUCCCUCUCCUGCUUUUGUUACGGCUUGGUGACAUUGUAAUGGAUGGCUGCAAGGUACAACCUGUAAAAAUAUAA